rnacentral:rRNA from 1 species
UACGGAGGGUGCGAGCGUUGUCCGGAAUCAUUGGGCGUAAAGGGCGCGUAGGUGGCUUCUUAAGCGUGCGGUGAAAGCCUGGGGCUCAACCCCGGGUCGGCCGUGCGAACUGGGGGGCUGGAGCACUGUAGAGGCAGGCGGAAUUCCGGGUGUAGCGGUGGAAUGCGUAGAGAUCCGGAAGAACGACCGGUGGCGAAGGCGGCCUGCUGGGCAGUUGCUGACACUGAGGCGCGACAGCGUGGGGAGCAAACAGG